UGUUAACAAUGAAAAGAGGAAGAAAGAGGAAGAAGAGAAAACAACCACUCUAGGGUUUCAUAUCAUAUAAUAAACCAAAACUGAAGUUAAUAGGGUUACACUGAGUAUAUAUAUAAGAAAAUAGAAUUGUCUAGAAUUGUCUAAAAUACCCUUACUACUAAUAUAUAAUAAUAUUAUCUAACAUCUCCCCUCAAACUCACGAUGCAUUAACAUGGAGCAUCGAGAGUUUGUCAACUAAAAAAAACGAAAACGUUUAAUGGAAUGCAUCUUUGUGAACAAAUCAGCAAUCUGUAAAGAAGAAGAGACAAACAGUAGAAUAAUGAUUCUAUGCUGAAGAUGAUGACGAGAGGGGUAACGAGGAGGAUCAACAAUCGCAGGAGGUGGUUGGACAGCCGGGGGGACAAGAGGGAUGUCACCAAAGAAGAAGCAACAAUCAAAGAGAAGAACCAAGCCAACAAAAAAAUCAAACCGAAAAAGAAGCGAUCAAAAAAGGAGCAACAACCAUAUCAAAAUCAACUGAUAGGAACAACCAAAGAAGUAGCACCACGAAACCAAAUCCAAACAAACCAAGGAGCAACAACCAUAUCAAAAUCAACAGAUAGGAACCACCAAAGAAGUAGCACCACGAAACCAAAUCCAAACAAACCAAGGAGCAACAACCAUAUCAAAAUCAAC
rnacentral:lncRNA from 1 species